rnacentral:rRNA from 1 species
ACGGGAGGCAGCAGUAGGGAAUCUUGCGCAAUGGGCGAAAGCCUGACGCAGCGACGCCGCGUGCGGGAAGAAGGCCUUCGGGUUGUAAACCGCUUUCAGGAGGGACGAAGCCACUCGGGUUAAUAGCCCAGAGGGUGACGGUACCUCCAGAAGAAGCCCCGGCUAACUACGUGCCAGCAGCCGCGGUAAUACGUAGGGGGCAAGCGUUGUCCGGAUUCAUUGGGCGUAAAGAGCGUGUAGGCGGCCAGGUAGGUCAGCUGUGAAAACUGGAGGCUCAACCUUCAGACGUCGGCUGAAACCAUCUGGCUAGAGUCCGGGAGAGGAGAGUGGAAUUCCUGGUGUAGCGGUGAAAUGCGCAGAUAUCAGGAAGAACACCCGUGGCGAAAGCGGCUCUCUGGAACGGUACUGACGCUGAGACGCGAAAGCGUGGGGAGCGAACAGGAUUAGAUACCCUGGUA